CUCCUCGUAGUUCAAUGGAUAGAACGGGUGCCUCCUAAGCGCCAGAUACAGGUCCGAUUCCUGUCGAGGGGACCA
rnacentral:tRNA from 2 species